rnacentral:rRNA from 1 species
GAUGAACGCUGGCGGCGUGCCUAAUACAUGCAAGUCGAGCGAAUGGAUUAAGAGCUUGCUCUUAUGAAGUUAGCGGCGGACGGGUGAGUAACACGUGGGUAACCUGCCAAUAAGACUGGGAUAACUCCGGGAAACCGGGGCUAAUACCGGAUAACAUUUUGAACCGCAUGGUUCGAAAUUGAAUGGCGGCUUCGGCUGUCACUUAUGGAUGGACCCGGGUCGCAUUAGCUAGUUGGUGAGGUAACGGCUCACCAAGGCAACGAUGCGGAGCCGACCUGAGAGGGUGAUCGGCCACGCUGGGAUGGAAGCGCGGCCCAGACUCCUACGGGAGACAGCAGUAGGGAAUCUUCCGCAAUGGACGAAAGUCUGACGGAGCAACGCCGCGUGGGUGAUGAAGGCUUUCGGGUCGUAAAACUCUGUUGUUAGGGAAGAACAAGUGCUAGUUGAAUAAGCUGGCACCUUGACGGUACCUAACGAGAAAGCCACGGCUAACUACGUGCCAGCCGCCGCAGUAA